CCAGCACUUUCACAGGCCCUCCUCGGGCUGUGGGGCCAGGAUUUGGUAGCUGGUGCUUAGAGCAAGCCCUGGGUUGCAUCCUUGCCCUGGGACUGUGCCAAGGGCAGCCAUCACUCACUGGGACAGCA
ensembl:snoRNA small nucleolar RNA, H/ACA box 30B